AUUGAACGCUGGCGGAAUGCUUUACACAUGCAAGUCGAGCGGCAGCGCGGGGGCAACCCUGGCGGCGAGCGGCGAACGGGUGAGUAAUACAUCGGAACGUGUCCUUGAGUGGGGGAUAGCUCGGCGAAAGCCGGAUUAAUACCGCAUAAGCUCUGCGGAGGAAAGCGGGGGACUGGUAACGGCCUCGCGCUGUUGGAGCGGCCGAUGUCGGAUUAGCUAGUUGGUGGGGAAAGGCCCACCAAGGCGACGAUCCGUAGCUGGUCUGAGAGGAUGAUCAGCCACACUGGGACUGAGACACGGCCCAGACUCCUACGGGAGGCAGCAGUGGGGAAUUUUGGACAAUGGGGGCAACCCUGAUCCAGCCAUGCCGCGUGC
rnacentral:rRNA from 1 species